rnacentral:rRNA from 1 species
GAUGAACGCUAGCGGCAGGCUUAACACAUGCAAGUCGAGGGGUAUAGUUCUUCGGAGCUAGAGACCGGCGCACGGGUGCGUACCGCGUAUGCAAUCUACCUUUUGCAGAGGGAUAGCCCAGAGAAAUUUGGAUUAAUACCUCAUAGUAUAUGAGAAUGGCAUCAUUUUAACAUUAAAGUCACAACGGCAAAAGAUGAGCAUGCGUCCCAUUUGCUUGUUGGUAAGGUAACGGCUUACCAAGGAAACGAUGGGGAGGGGUCCUGAGAGGGAGAGCCCCCACACUGGUACUGAGACACGGACCAGACUCCUACGGGAGGCAGCAGUGAGGAAUAUUGGACAAUGGGCGCAAGCCUGAUCCAGCCAUGCCGCGUGCAGGAUGACGGUCCUAUGGAUUGUAAACUGCUUUUGUACAGGAAGAAACACUGGUUCGUGAACCAGCUUGACGGUACUGUAAGAAUAAGGAUCGGCUAACUCCGUGCCAGCCGCCGCGGUAAGAC